rnacentral:rRNA from 1 species
GAUGAACGCUGGCGGCGUGCUUAACACAUGCAAGUCGAACGAUGAAGCCCAGCUUGCUGGGUGGAUUAGUGGCGAACGGGUGAGUAACACGUGAGUAACCUGCCCUUAACUCUGGGAUAAGCCUGGGAAACUGGGUCUAAUACCGGAUAGGAGCGUCCGCCGCAUGGUGGGUGUUGGAAAGAUUUAUCGGUUUUGGAUGGACUCGCGGCCUAUCAGCUUGUUGGUGAGGUAAUGGCUCACCAAGGCGACGACGGGUAGCCGGCCUGAGAGGGUGACCGGCCACACUGGGACUGAGACACGGCCCAGACUCCUACGGGAGGCAGCAGUGGGGAAUAUUGCACAAUGGGCGAAAGCCUGAUGCAGCGACGCCGCGUGAGGGAUGACGGCCUUCGGGUUGUAAACCUCUUUCAGUAGGGAAGAAGCGAAAGUGACGGUACCUGCAGAAGAAGCACCGGCUAACUACGUG